UACAGAGGUCUCAAGCGUUGUUCGGAUUCAUUGGGCGUAAAGGGCGCGUAGGUGGCGCUGUAAGUCAGGUGUGAAAUUUCGGAGCUUAACUCCGAAACUGCAUUUGAUACUGCGGUGCUCGAGGACUGGAGAGGAGACUGGAAUUUACGGUGUAGCAGUGAAAUGCGUAGAGAUCGUAAGGAAGACCAGUGGCGAAGGCGGGUCUCUGGACAGUUCCUGACACUGAGGCACGAAAGCCAGGGGAGCAAACGGG
rnacentral:rRNA from 1 species